UGUGUGCCUCCAGAAUGCUUAUGUUGAAUCUUAACUCCCAAAGAUGAUUACAUGUUAGUAAAUGGAAGUCUCGGGGAAGUGAUUAGGUCAUAAUGAUGGGACCCUCAUGAAUGUGAUUAGCGCACUGUAAAAGCAUUUCACAGAAUCCCUAGCCCGUUCCACCACAUGAGAGCACAGCAGGAAGGUACCUCUUAUAACCAGGAAUUGAGCCCUCACCAGCCACCAUAUAAAACCUACAAACACCAUGAUCUUGGACUUCCAGUCUCCAGAAUUAUUCUUCUUUUAAAGAAAAGCACUGCCUCUGAAUGACUAAUGGGUGUGAAAAUGCCAAUUCAGCUAUGCUUGGAGUAAAGCUGAUUAAAUUCUUCACUUACGACGGGAAGAAGUAAUGAGUGAUAAAAAGGUCCAGGAUAUGGCUGAGGGAACACUUGUCUGAAGUGCUGUGGAAGUAAAAGUCACCAAAGAUGUAAAAUUCAAGGACCUGAGCAGAGAAUCAGAUGGGUUAUCCACAUGGACACUGUCACCCCAGGAAAUGGCAGAUCUUGGAGCAGCAA